AUUGCCGCCAAUGUAUUUACCCCCUAAAUUUUAAGAGAUUUCGCUUUAGGAGGUAGAGAAAGACUCCCACUUACAUAGAAGAAAGUGAAUUUUUAAUUAGAAACAAAUUCAACAAGUUUCAGAAAAAAAAAAAGCAAAAAAAAUUAAGGACCCAUAUUGCCGCAUUCAUCGGACCACGUAUUGCGCCGUGCAUUAGCCGUACGUAAAGUGAUACGCCCGACCCGACCCGAUAUCUCAUGGACCUAUUCGGUCAAUGUUUUAUGUCACGAAACUGUCAAAGAUAUACGUUUAAAGACAAAGCUUUCUCCACUUCCCAGUUCUCACUCACGUGAGAAAAGUCAAAGCUUCAUAUCUCCCUCCACUCCCACUAUUCAACAUUUCUUUACUUUAGCAAUAUGAUAAAAAAAGUAUUAUGAAGAUGGAUCCAAGAAAUUAAACAUCCAAUAGAAUAUUGGAAUCCAGAUAUAAACUACAAUUCUCAUAACUAGUUUUUUGUGUGUUGAA